UGGGGAAUAUUGGGCAAUGGGGGGAACCCUGACCCAGCAACGCCGCGUGGAGGAAGAAGGUUUUCGGAUCGUAAACUCCUGUCCUUGGUGAAGAGAAGGAGACGGUAGCCAAGGAGGAAGCCCCGGCUAACUACGUGCC
rnacentral:rRNA from 1 species